GAGGAAGAGGCGCAUUGGUGAGCCGUUGCUAGGACGUGGAGCGAAGACAAGGCCAGAGAGGGACCGUUGGGAUUGGCCCCUGGGAAGAAGAAUCACCAGGAGAACAUGGAGAAUCAUUAUUGGCGUUUUUCUUGAAAUGGCGGCACCUUCUGCGGUGAAUAGCAUGAUACUUUUUUUAUAAAUGGGAGGGGAUAAUACCUGUUGUUUGAGCAGGUCAUAUUACACAACUGAACAAGUGUCACGGUAAUGGUUGCAUGUGGGGAAGGGAUGUGGGUUUUUAUCACCAUGGCCUAUCCCUGAGCAGUUUCUACCCUACUUUCCAGUUUUACCCCAGCAACCAAGAAGGAAGAAUUAUCUGGAACAGAGUCUGAGACAAAACUAAUCCUUGGAGGACCUGCUCAAGGAAAAAUUCCCUAAGGGUCUGAGAUUGUCUGUAGUUGCGAAUUUGAUAGAAUAUAGGUCUAGGAUUCUCCCAAAGUUCAGAGAGAGCGAAGACAAUUUAGACAACUACAGUUGGGCAGCACGGUGGCUCGGUGGUUAGCACUGCUGCCUCACAACACCAAGGACUGGGUUCGGUUCCACCCUUGGGCAACUGUCUGCGUGGAGUUUACAUGCUCUCCCCAUGUCAGCAUGGGUUUCCUCCCACAAUCCAAAGAUGUAAGGUUGAGAUGAAUUGGCCGUGCAAAAUUGGCUGUGGUGUACGGGCUAUGUGGAUUAACCAUGGGAAAUGCAAGAUUACAGGGCAGAGGAGUGAGUCUGGGUGGGAUGCUCUUUGGAGGGUCAGUAUGGAUGCGAUGGGCUGAAUCGCCUGCAUCCACACUGUAGGGUUCUAUCACCGCUCAACCUACUGUCACUAUGACCCCUGGUACCACUUCAGAGCCACAAUGUAGUGAUUCCCAGAGAGAUAUAGGGGGAUUUGGUCAGUUCUGGAAGAAACGCAAGAAACUUACUCUGGUACCAGGAUAUAAACAUAGUAUUUAACCUGGUGGAUGCACAGAUACCAUCUUGGUGUGAUAGUACAGUCUGGCAGCUCUUUGAUCACCUACUCCAGAUAGUGUGAUUCAUCAAAGUGGAUUUCCUUGGAAGCAGAAAGGAAAAGGAGGAAGACAGCAUUGAUUGAAUUAUCAGGAGAAGGCUAUGCAGCAGGCACAGUCACUAUCAAAACCCUUGACAUAGCAGAAUUGGAUGUGCCGUUAAAAUUCACUGUAGGAGAAGAUAAAGAUAAUAGUGGGCCAGGAAUACAAGAAUCCAGACAAAACAAGUAAGAGAAGGCAGCAUUGGUAUUCAAUGCAAUCCAUGUGUUGAAACCCCUUCAAAAUAUCUCUACUGUGAUCAUAGACAGUUUGGCCAAUGAGACAACACAUACUAUAGGUUCCUGUUUAUGGUCAGUACAAACAUGCUACAGUUAGACUCAGUACCAGACUGGGUGUCAAAUGAGCAACGAAGGACAUGGGUAGAGGCAGAAUCACCUCUGCCACCUCAGAAGCCUUAUCCUCGCUAAUCAGGUUUUGAAUACUUACGAUAAAUGUCUUCUGUACGCUGGAGUGGUCCUUCAUAUACACAGACAUGGGGAUAAUCUGACUUAUAAUGCAAGUUCAUACUGUGGGUAAAUGUGAAGGGACUUGGGUGUCAUUGAACCAAUCCGCACUAAAAUUUUUGAAGGGGUGGGGGUGGGGAGAGAGUGGAUUUGUCCCAAAGCCACCUGGGAGGAACUGCUGGGCACGUCUGAAGGAAUGAUCAGAGAAGACUUGCUUGAGGCGGAUUUGCCUCUUAGGAAAUCUGUUCAUGAUCUAUUUUGCCAGUGAAUAACAAACCAUUUAAGUAUGCCCUAGGAGGAUGCACAUAUUACAUGGCCAUGCCAGCCUUAGGAUAUCAAAAGAGAUGGAAAUAGUGUACUUUGAAUGGACAUAAUGUGGCAAUUCAUGAUUUUCAAAGAUUGGCCACCAAACUUUAAACCUGAACCUAAUGAGAAAUUGUAUGUAACUGUCUAUUCGUCAAAAUGACAAAUAUGAAGAUUUGCGACAGUUUGUAGCCACAGAGCCUCUACCCAUCCCACUACAGACUGGAUAAAGAUUAUUAAAGAAGCCAAGGAAGUUAUUCAUGAAUGGUCCGUACAUGAGAAACCAAUCAAAGCCCUUGCAGAAGACCAGCAAGAUGUUGCAGACUCCAAUAAACUUUGGAACUGGGGAAUGAAUGCUCCGGUCUAUCGUGGAUCAGGAAUGUGUCUAUGUGAUUGUUGUUAUAUUACAAUUUGUUAUACUUAUUGUGGUAACAGUUUUAUCUUGGUGCUAAGAUGGAAAGCUAAGAAAUGGAAAGGAAUGGGAAUGGAUCAGAUACCAAAGAAUAUUGUGAAUAGGAGAAAGUUUAAGAUGGCAUUAUGAACCAUGCAUGUACUAUACCAGUAAUGUUUUUGAAUUCAUGUAAGGUAUUAAAAUGACAUUUUAAAUAAUGCA